GAUCCUGGCUCAGGAUGAACGCUGGCGGCGUGCUUAACACAUGCAAGUCGAACGGACGAUGAAGAGCUUGCUUUUCAGAGUUAGUGGCGGACGGGUGAGUAACGCGUGGGUAACCUGCCUCAUACAGGGGGAUAGCAGCUGGAAACGGCUGAUAAAACCGCAUAAGCGCACAGCAUCGCAUGAUGCAGUGUGAAAAACUCCGGUGGUAUGAGAUGGGCCCGCGU
rnacentral:rRNA from 1 species